GACGAACGCUGGCGGCGUGCCUAAUACAUGCAAGUCGAGCGCAGAAGCUCGGUACUUGUGCCAUCUGGGUGAGCCGCGCACGGGUGAGUAACGCGUGGAAAAUCUGCCUUUGAGCGGGGGACAACAUUGGGAAACGAGUGCUAAUCCCGCAUAAGAUCUUGAAACACAAGGUGGAAGGUUGAAAGACGCAAUUGCAUGACUCAAUGAUGGUCCAUCGUCGUAUUAGCUAGUUGGUGAGGUAAAAGCUCACCGAGGUGAGGAUGGAUAGCCCCACUGAGAGGGCGGUUGGCCGCCUUGGGAGUGUGACCCGGCCCAUACGCCUACGGGAGGCGGCAGUAGUGAAUCUGCGGCCAUGGGCGAAAGUCUGAGCGAGCUACGCCGCGGGCGUGAGGAAGGUCGUCGGAUCGUAAAACUCUGUCGGUAGAGAAUAACGUUGGUGCGAGUGGAAAGCACAUUAAGUGACGGUAACUACCCAAGAAGCAACGGCUAACUACGUG
rnacentral:rRNA from 1 species